ACUUUAAUAGUAUUUAUUUUAUACAGCAUGUGAAUCUUCACUGAUUUACUGUCUCCUUUCUCCGUUUCCACACUAGUUAACAUCAAGAUACAAUGUUACGAUUAUUUUUGAUAGAACCUCAGUUCAACUGGUUCCAGAUGUGUUUGAAUGGUAAUGGUCUGUUUUUACAUAUUUGCUUAUAGUCUUGAUUUAUAUAGUGCUUCUAAUCGCAAUCGCAAUCGACACUUAAGCACUUAAAAUCAUAGCUUUUGCCAUUUAUACACUGAUCUGUGUGCAGCACUUUCUAUAUCACUCAUUACUGGUACAGUUGUCAGGGUCCAGGGUUCAGCGUCUUGCCCAAGGACACUUUGGCACGUGAAACGGAGAAGACAUGGAUCGAACUGCCAACCCUCUGUCUAGUGGAAGACCCGGUUUACUCCAUGAGCCACAGCCGGCCCCUGUGUGUUUGACAAACAAAACCCACGUCACUGUGUUCCCUGUGAACCGGAGAGAUCCUCCGUACCACUGAUGUGAAACUCCAGACCACAGUUGCCUGUAAACCGACUCGUGUUAAUCACAAACAUCUGCCUGUGACAUGACGGACGAGGUGAGCUGAUGUCAGACAGGUGCGGCCAACAGACUGUGACCGCAGGAGUCCCAUCAGCCCGUCUGGGUUUCAGCCUGGAAAGUCCGGUGAAUUUGGUGCUGGAGCAUGUGACCCCCCCCCCCCCCCAGGAGA